GAUGAACGCUGGCGGCGUGCUUAACACAUGCAAGUCGAACGGAAAGGCCCAAGCUUGCUUGGGUACUCGAGUGGCGAACGGGUGAGUAACACGUGGGUGAUCUGCCCUGCACUUCGGGAUAAGCCUGGGAAACUGGGUCUAAUACCGGAUAGGACGAUGGUUUGGAUGCCAUUGUGGAAAGUUUUUUCGGUGUGGGAUGAGCUCGCGGCCUAUCAGCUUGUUGGUGGGGUAAUGGCCUACCAAGGCGUCGACGGGUAGCCGGCCUGAGAGGGUGUACGGCCACAUUGGGACUGAGAUACGGCCCAGACUCCUACGGGAGGCAGCAGUGGGGAAUAUUGCACAAUGGGCGCAAGCCUGAUGCAGCGACGCCGCGUGGGGGGUGACGGCCUUCGGGUUGUAAACUCCUAUCGCUAGGGACGAAGCGUUUUUGUGACGGUACCUGGAGAAGAAGCACCGGCUAACUACGUG
rnacentral:rRNA from 1 species